CCUACGGGUGGCAGCAGUGAGGAAUAUUGGUCAAUGGGCGCGAGCCUGAACCAGCCAAGCCGCGUGAGGGAUGACGGUCCUACGGGUUGUAAACCUCUUUUGCCGGGGAGCAACGGGCGCCACGUGUGGCGCCACUGAGAGUACCCGGAGAAAAAGCAUCGGCUAACUCCGUGCCAGCAGCCGCGGUAAUACGGAGGAUGCGAGCGUUAUCCGGAUUUAUUGGGUUUAAAGGGUGCGUAGGCGGAUCGUUAAGUCAGUGGUCAAAUUGAGGGGUGCAACCCCGGCGAGCCGUUGAAACUGGCUGUCUUGAGAUGUCGAGAGGUAUGCGGAAUGCGCAGUGUAGCGGUGAAAUGCUUAGAUAUUGCGCAGAACUCCGAUGGCGAAGGCAGCAUACCGGCGGCGAUCUGACGCUGAGGCACGAAAGCGUGGGUAUCGAACAGGAUUAGAUACCCGGGUAGUC
rnacentral:rRNA from 1 species